AAAAAAGGCUACAUGGAAAUCAUGAAACACUAGAGCAGAAAGUACCAUUGUUUGACAGCACUGUGGCCUAUGGAAGAUGGAUACCAGAAUGAGGAUUUGCCUCCAAAUUUUAUAAGCUUCUAAAAAAUCAAAUGAUGAGAAACAAAUGUGAAAAGUUCACAAAACUAGUGAUUACUUAAAAAAAAAUUCUUAAAGCCUUAUUGCUUUUAGCAAGCUUCUUGCAAGAAGGACAUUAAUUAUCUGGAACACCAUCGUUUAACAGGAAGAAAUCAAGGCACAAAUUGCCCUACAGUCAGGGGAACUGUACUGCAGGCUGAAGAUGGAGAACACACCAGCAGUGAAACUGAAGCAGCGAUGCUCACUGGAAAGAGGAAGGAGUAUUGCGAUUAUAUAAUCUGAUCUUCAGCAGUCGGCCACUGUGAUCGAAGGAGCUGGAGCACUUGCCCUGCGAGGAGAAGCUGACAGAAUUGGGCUCAUUCAACCUGGAGAAGAGCAUACAAAUGGCUCAGCUGCAUGCUUUGAAGAGGUGGGAGUGAGAAGGCAUUUCAUCCUGACUGCAAAACUACAUCCCAUCCUUGAGGCAAUGGGUCAGAGCAAAAAGAGGACAAUUCCUUUAUGUUGUGCAUUUUUUACAUGAGAGUUGGGCUGUGUGGUGUUUUAGAGGUUAAACAAACACUCUCUCGAGACAAGCUGGAGU